rnacentral:pre_miRNA from 1 species
AAUAAGUACAGUUUUGCACUAUUCACGUUCAACGUUUGACCGUCCGUCUUAUUUGAAAAUCUUUUAUUUUUAUUGUUGCUAUUAGAUGAUAAAACAUGAAUAGUACUUUAUGUGUGACUAAAUGUUUUUAAUUUUUUCAUAAAUUUUUCAAAUAAGACGGACGGUCAAAUGUUAAACGUGAAUAGUGCAAAACUGCACUUAUU